rnacentral:rRNA from 1 species
GUGGGGAAUCUUAGACAAUGGGCGCAAGCCUGAUCUAGCCAUGCCGCGUGAGCGAUGAAGGCCUUAGGGUUGUAAAGCUCUUUCAGCUGGGAAGAUAAUGACGGUACCAGCAGAAGAAGCCCCGGCUAACUCCGUGCCAGCAGCCGCGGUAAUACGGAGGGGGCUAGCGUUGUUCGGAAUUACUGGGCGUAAAGCGCACGUAGGCGGAUCAGAAAGUCAGAGGUGAAAUCCCAGGGCUCAACCUUGGAACUGCCUUUGAAACUCCUGAUCUUGAGGUCGAGAGAGGUGAGUGGAAUUCCGAGUGUAGAGGUGAAAUUCGUAGAUAUUCGGAGGAACACCAGUGGCGAAGGCGGCUCACUGGCUCGAUACUGACGCUGAGGUGCGAAAGCGUGGGGAGCAAACAGGAUUAGAUACCCGUGUAGUCC